rnacentral:rRNA from 1 species
UACGGGGGGGGUAAGCGUUGUUCGGAAUUACUGGGCGUAAAGGGCUCGUAGGCGGCCAACUAAGUCAUACGUGAAAUCCCUCAGCUUAACUGGGGAACUGCGUGUGAUACUGGAUGGCUUGGAUUUGGGAGAGGGAUGCGGAAUUCCAGGUGUAGCGGUGAAAUGCGUAGAUAUCUGGAGGAACACCGGUGGCGAAGGCGGCAUCCUGGACCAAUACUGACGCUGAGGAGCGAAAGCCAGGGGAGCAAACGGG